CCUUGUCGUCGCGUUCCAGCAUUUCUUGUUUCCACGUCACCGACUCACAUGGAGUUGUGCAUUUUUCGGUCCUGUCCUCUGUUCCAUAGCUGAAUAGCUGAAUUUAGGGUGAUGUCAUUUUGGCUCAUCGCGGGGAUGUUUAACUGUAUUUAAAUCAUCCUGAAAACAGCUUUGGAGUUGUCCGGAUGCCCUGCGGCACCAUGCUGCCUCUCACAGGUCAAGCUUAGUACUACCACAGACAUCAUUAAGUCCUGCAGUGUGCUGUCAUCUUGAGCACACUAGACACACCAUAAGAGCGUUUUUUGUUGUUAUUUUUAUCAUGUGCGGGAUCUCGCAUAUUAAUAAGAGGAUAAGAUGCUAAAAAUCAGAUUAAGCCAACUCAAAGUGGAGCAGUGUUGUCACGGUGCCUCUCCAACCUUUGGAUUUAUGGUUUUCUUUCACUUUUUGCCUCCUCUCCUCACCUUUUUUUCUCCCCCCUCCAUUCCCGAAUCGAUAAACAGAACCUCGGCUCAGCUGCAGCCAAGGCAAAUGUUUGAGCCACCUGUUGCAGGAAACUUGAAGCUCUCGGGAGAUGUGAAGAUGGAGAGAAUAAGGCUCUGCUCCAGCCUCUGAAACACACUGAAAAUGUGAAUGAAGUUAAUAUUAACCGACAUUACUAACAGCUAAUAUUCCAAACAUAAUGCAAGUGGCGAUAACAGUAAAAAUUUUGUAUUGCGUUGUAGUGAUAGAUGGCGCAAUGACUGCAAUCCAUUGAGCUUCAACACUGUAAUUACUUGCCUGCAUAAUGAUUGUACAUGUUGGCCACUAGGAGAGCAAAAAGCUCCAAAACAAACAUGAAACACA